CCAACGGCCCUCUUUAGGGCCACAUUUGAAAACCGAAUUCAACAUU
rfam:Necator americanus N_americanus-1.0_Cont215.1, whole genome shotgun sequence.